rnacentral:lncRNA from 1 species
CACAGAGCCACCUCAUCGUGCAAGAGUCUGUCUCUCCUUUCUUGGUGCUCCCAUUGGGGGCGCCCGGAGGAGCCUGCCUGCCGGAGGAGGAACGUGAUUAGACUCAUUUGGGCCCAAGAGCAGUGAUGGAUGUGGACAGGCGGAGCCGCCGGCUGACCCAGUGUCCGCCGGGCGCCGGGGGCCCCUCCGCAGGGCCAGGCCCGCUCCUGGACGGGUGGCUCCUGGACGCCUCGCGCACGAGCUCAGACGGGACCCCCGGCCCUGCCCCCCUGCCCGUGGCUCUCCCGCCUGCUCUCGCGGGUCCCUCUCCCACCCCCGGGCCAGCGUGCUCCUCCCAGCCGCCCCGCGAGCUCCUGACUGCGCACCCCAGUCUCCCCAUCGCAUUUGCUGUCUUCCCGAUUCCCAUCUGUCCUCCUUGGGAUCAACUCAGGGUCCCCACACAGCCUGGCUCUGGCACCCGGGAGGGGCUCAGGCAAAGUCGUCCAUGGGAACCUCCACGUACCAGGUCUCCAUCGGGCUCCUCGGAUGACUCGGGGCUGGAGAAGCCUUGGCUGUGUGCUGGUUGCCCAUCCAGGGCGAAGCGCUUUCGGAGGCAGGAAGGCCCGUAAAGUGACACCGGUGUGGGGGCGGGUGGGCUGCGUGUGGCCAGGGGUGGGGGCACGGGAGGGGCCUGGUGGAAAGAACGCUGGGCCCGAGUUGGGACACCAGAGCUGCUGACCCCGAGGGACGGCACCCGCUCUCCCGCCCUGACUCCAUUUCCUCACCAGGAAGAGGAACUGCCUCCUUCCUGCUCUGCGACCCCUGCGAGAUCACACGACUGACCAGAGCGCGGCGGGGGCUUCUCGUCCCUUCGCUGCUGUCCUGCCCC